rnacentral:rRNA from 1 species
UUGUAAGGACUUCCUGGGCCUUAAAACAGUACUAGAUCCUCUAUGAUCUUGGAAGCUAAGUAGAAUCAGCCCUGGUCAGUACUUGGAUAGGGGACCACCAAUGAAUACCAGGUUCUGUAGGCU